GGUUAAGUACGGAGUGAAGUUUUACUCUUAGAAACUAAAAGUAAUAUCCUCAAAAUAAACAAAAUAAAAAUCUAGAAAGUAAAUUGUUGGAUUCAAUGAUUCAAAAAGCACUCUCGUUAAUUUUCGUUAGAGUUCUAGUCUAGACAUGUAAAAGCAGUAGCAAAUUUCUCUUAGUUGGGAGGUGGCUGUUAUUCAGAAUUCGGAAGGAAUCAGCAAUGUUGUAUGCAACAAGGUUUAGGUAUUCUGUUCGUAAAAUCCCUAAUUUUGUUCCACUCUCUACUCUUCCUCCUUCCUGUUCCUGUUCAUGGACAAGCCUUCACUUUCAUUCUGAGCCUCCAUCCCUUCGUGAAGUUGAUGAUGCUGUUGAUUCCUUCACUCGCAUGCUCUCUAUGCGUCGUACUCCUCCCAUCCUUCAAUUUAACAAGAUUUUGGGAUCUCUUGCCAAGACGAACCAUUUCCACGCCGCCAUUUCCCUUUUUCAACAAUUGCAAGCCAGAGGAAUUGCGCCCAGCAUAGUCACUUUGAAUAUCUUAAUCAAUUGUUGCUGCGGCAUGGGUCGGAUCACUCUCGCUUUCUCUGUAUUCGCCAAGAUUCUCAAGAUGAGUUUUCAGCCUGGUACCAUAACAUUGAAUACACUCAUUAAAGGUCUCUGUCUCUGUGGCAAGGUUGAAAAAGCACUGCACCUUCACAACACAAUGCUAGCCCAAGGAUUUCAGUUUAAUCAAGUUACUUAUGGGACCUUGAUCAAUGGGCUCUGUAAGAUAGGACACACAUCAGCUGCUGUUCAGGUGUUGAGAAAGAUCCCACGGCAUGGAAUUGUUCCUAAUGUUGUCAUGUACAAUGCAAUUAUUGAUAGCCUCUGCAAGGUUACCCUUUUAAAUGAUGCUUUUUAUUUAUUCUCUGAAAUGCUUGCUAAGGGAAUUUCUCCCAAUGUUAUCACGUACAACACUCUAAUUUAUGGAUUGUGCCUUGCGGGUCAACUAAAGGAAGCCAUUGAUUUACUAAAUCAUAUGAUGCUGAAAAACAUUACUCCAAAUGUUCGUACCUACAGUACUUUGAUUGAUGGACUAUGUAAGGAAGGAAGGAUCAAAGAUGCUAAGAGUGUGUUGGCUAUGAUGACAAAAGAUGGUGUGAAACCAGAUGUGGUUACUUAUAAUUGUUUAAUGGAUGGGUAUUGCUUGGUUAACGAAUUAAACAAGGCAAAAUGUAUAUUCGACGCAAUGGCCGAGAUUAAAGCGUCUCCUAAUGUUCGGAGUUACAAUAUCAUGAUUAAUGGCUUUUGCAAAAGUAAAAUGAUCGACGACGCCUUGAAUCUCUUCGAAGAGAUGCAUCGCAAAAACUUGGUUCCUAACACAGUAACUUACAGUAUUCUAAUUGAUGGCCUGGGAAAAUCAAAGAGAAUCCUUUGUGCCUUGGAGCUUCUUGAAAAGAUGCAUGAUCGAAGUCAACCCGCUAAUAUAGUCACUUACAGUUCCUUGAUGGAUGCUUUGUUCAAUAUCAAACAACAUGACAAGGCACUUAUGUUAUUCAAUCAAAUGAAAGAGAUUGGCAUUGAUCCAGAUAUAUAUACAUACAACAUACUUAUAGAUGGCCUGUGCAAAAGUGGAAGACUUGAAAAUGCAAAAGAGAUUUUUCAAGAUCUUUCCAUUAAAGGCUAUCAUCCAGAUGUGAGAACAUACACUAUUAUGAUAAAUGGGCUUUGCAAAGAGGGCCUACUUCAUGAAGCAUUGGCUUUCUUGUCAAAAAUGGAAGACAAUGGUUGCUUACCAAAUGCUAUGACUUAUGAAAUAAUCAUUCGUGCUCUGUUUGAAAGAGGUGAAAAUGAUAACGCGGAGAAACUUCUUCGUGAAAUGAUAUCUAAAGGCCUGUUGCAAGGAUAAAAGAUGUUAUACCUGAAGCAUAUUAUACCAAAGCAAUCGUUUUGAUAAAAAAUAGUUACUGAUUCAAACUUCAAAGCCAAAGGAUUUUGAUCAAACACUAGCCGCUUGCACAAUCUCCAAGCACCCCAAAGAGUAGCAAGAAACAUUUGCACAGGUGGAAGCACUCUUCAAUUCAACACAUUCCCUUUUGUGAUACUCCAUUGAUUGCAAGAAAAGAAUGUUGUCAUUGUUCUCAUCCUCACCAAUCAAAUUAAGUCCCAAUCACUUGAUGAAGCUAUUGAUUCCUUCACUCGCAUGCUCUCUAUGUGUGGUACUCCAUCCAUCAUCCAGUUCACCAAGAGUAGAGUUUGAAGAAAAGUUCUCAGAAAUUGAAAAUGAGAAUCAAGCUAGAAUUAAAGUAGCAGAAGAAGGACAACUAAAAGCAACACAACUUCAAGAGAGAAAUUAUAAAUUGAUGCAGACACAGGGAAACAAACUUGUGAAUAUCAAGGCAGUUCAAAUUUCCAAAUUCAGUAUCUGCCUACUACACUUGCAUACGUACAAAUAUGUACCAAACUAAGAAUCUAUUGUUUCUCAAACACAAAAUGAAUUUAUAUAAUUUUCAUCAUCAUUUAGUUAUAGUCACCAUGAAAUCAAUUGAUCAACUACCUAUCCACAUCAUUUAGUUAUAAAUUCAUUUUGUGUUUGAGGAACAAUAAAUUCUUAGUUUUUAUGUAUUAGAAAGCAUGUAAGUUUAGUAGGUAAAUACUGAAUAUUACUGGGUUAGAGUACACAAAAUGAGGAUAUUAUUGUUCAUUUCCCUAGCAUGCACAUAUGCAGUUGAGCGGUGUUAAGGUAGUUGG